GUGUGUGUGUGUGUGUGUGUGUGUGUGAGAAUGAGAUCAGUUUGUUUCCUAUACAUACAACUUUUGUGCAUAAGUUUAAAUGGGUUUUCCAUAUAAUUAGUAGAAGGUUUUGUUUGCUCAUCUCCACAAUUUGAGUGAAUACAUGCAUUGUGUAUAGAGUCUUUUCCUUCAUGAGGCUGUUUGGGGAGGAGCCAGUUCUAGGGGUUCUGCUAACAGUACAAGAGCUUUAAAGGAGAAUGUUCAGUCACAUCUCCACCAUUGUCUGUCCACUGUCACACUCCUUCAUGGGGUGUUGUUGGUGUUUGCUGCCUUGGGCGAGUGCUGUCUCUCCAAUGUUUCCACGGUAUUACUGCCAAUGAAGGGCCUCUUUUAGUUUUGGGUCUUGGGGGGGUUCCUAUAAGGGCUCGUUGCACUAGUAGUCUGUAGUUCACGUGGGGGCCUUGUCUAAGUGUACAGUGUGACCCCCAAAGAUGGUGUCUGCCCCCUGAUCUGUGGAAGCAGCUCUUUGUGCUUAAAGUAGCAGUGACCACGGAAUCUUUUUUUUUUAAAUGUUUGCACUUUUUUUUUUUCCCUAGUCCAAGCUGACUUCGAUUUACUGUGUGAUGUCAACUGACGAGCAAGCUUGGGCUGAAGUAUGAACUCUGCCUCGGGAUGCAGUCACACAGUGUAAGAUGACCCCACCAUCUGUGCCAGCGUUGCUGAAGCUCCAUCACAUGAUCACUCCUGAAUGCAUCUGCAGGUGCGGCGUUGGGCGAUGGUGGGGUGGAGCACCCGCAUAACGUAUACCGACUUCUGCAAUCCCACGGUUUUUGACCACCCACCCUCCGUCCAAGCCACCAGAAACCGUCUAUUGUGGAUCCAGCAAGGCAACCGCUCCGUGGCAGACUACGCAUUGGCGUUCAAAACAUUGGUCGAGCAAGGCAGAUGGAACACCGCAUCCCUCCUGGCAUGUUUUCGGAACAGGCUCCAACCUUGCCUCCAAGCCAAACUGGCCUAUUGUGGAGGGGAGUGGAUGCUGGACUGCUUCAUGGAAACAGCUGGACAACCUAGCCCACAAGAGGACCCUGAGGGGGUGGGUGGUGACACCAACUUCUCCUUCCUGGGAGGAGGACCCUGAGCCAAUGCAGAGUGAACAAAGUCGACUGACCCCGGACGAGAGACAAUACCGCGUCCAAGAGCGCUGGUGCCUGUACUGCGGUGUUCCUGGUCACUAUUUCUCCUCCUGCCCCAUGCAUCCACCACGAGAGACCCUCCUGGAACCUCAGGUGAGUCUUUUUUAUCAUUCGGGGGGAGCUAACAGUACUAAUCAGCCUAGCCUGGUCAGGGAACCAGACCAGUACCCAUGCGUUAAUAGACUCAGGGGCAGCUCGGUGUUUUAUGGAUGGGGGUUUUGCACAGGCUAACCACAUACCGGGUAAGGAAUGUGACAUAAUGUUACGGGUAAGCAUGUUGGACAGGCAG
rnacentral:lncRNA from 1 species